CUGCAUAGUGGGGGAUAACCAUUUGGAAACGAUGGCUAAUACCUGCAUAAUGCCUACGUGGCCAAAGAGGGGGAUCUUCGGACCUCUCGCGUCAAGAUAUGCCUAGGUGGGAUUAGCUAGUUGGUGAGGUAAUGGCUCACCAAGGCGACGAUCCCUAGCUGGUCUGAGAGGGUUAUCAGCCACACUGGAACUGACCNCACNGUCCAGACUCNUACGGGAGGCAGCAGUGGGGAAUAUUGCACAAUGGGCGCAAGCCUGAUGCAGCCAUGCCGCGUGUAUGAAGAAGGCCUUCGGGUUGUAAAGUACUUUCAGCUUGUGAGGAAGGGGGUAACGUUAAUAGCGUUAUCUCUUGNACGUUAGCAACAGAAGAAGCACCGGNUAACUCCGUNCCAGCAGCCG
rnacentral:rRNA from 1 species